UUGGCCCAGAAUCAAGACCAGCAGUUUGCUAAAACUGUUGGGUCUCAAACAGGAACCUAAAGAAAUAUCUUUCUAUAGUCUGUUGGCCAUUUCACAAUUUGGUAAAUGUAAUGGUCAAUUUAUUAGAAAGAAACAUCU